rnacentral:rRNA from 1 species
GAUGAACGCUGGCGGCGUGCCUAAUACAUGCAAGUCGAGCGAACAGAUGAGGAGCUUGCUCCUCUGACGUUAGCGGCGGACGGGUGAGUAACACGUGGAUAACCUACCUAUAAGACUGGGAUAACUUCGGGAAACCGGAGCUAAUACCGGAUAAUAUAUUGAACCGCAUGGUUCAAUAGUGAAAGACGGUUUUGCUGUCACUUAUAGAUGGAUCCGCGCCGCAUUAGCUAGUUGGUAAGGUAACGGCUUACCAAGGCAACGAUGCGUAGCCGACCUGAGAGGGUGAUCGGCCACACGGGAACUGAGGCACGGUCCAGACUCCUACGGGAGGCAGCAGUAGGGAAUCUUCCGCAAUGGGCGAAAGCCUGCCGGAGCAACGCCGCGUGAGUGAUGAAGGUCUUCGGAUCGUAAAACUCUGUUAUUAGGGAAGAACAAAUGUGUAAGUAACUAUGCACGUCUUGACGGUACCUAAUCAGAAAGCCACGGCUAACUACGUG